rnacentral:rRNA from 1 species
AUUGAACGCUAGCGGCAUGCCUAACACAUGCAAGUCGAACGAGUGGCGGACGGGUGAGUAAUGUCUCGGAACCUGCCCGAUGGCGGGGGAUAACUACUGGAAACGGUAGCUAAUACCGCAUACCAUCGGAUGUGCCCAUAUGGGAUUAGCUAGUAGGUGGGGUAAAGGCUCACCUAGGCGACGAUCCCUAGCUGGUCUGAGAGGAUGACCAGCAACACUGGAACUGAGACACGGUCCAGACGCCUACGGGAGGCAGCAGUGGGGAAUAUUGGACAAUGGGCGAAAUCCUGAUGCAGCCAUGCCGCGUGUAUGAAGAAGGCCUUCGGGUUGUAAAGUACUUUCAGCAGGGAAGCGGUACCUGCAGAAGAAGCACCGGCUAACUACGUGCCAGCAGCCGCGGUAAUUC